GGGAAUAUUCCACAAUGGGCGAAAGCCUGAUGGAGCAACGCCGCGUGUGUGAUGAAGGCUUUCGGGUCGUAAAGCACUGUUGUCUGGGAAGAACAGCUAGAAUAGGGAAUGAUUUUAGUUUGACGGUACCAUACCAGAAAGGGACGGCUAAAUACGUGCCAGCAGCCGCGGUAAUAA
rnacentral:rRNA from 1 species